AUCAGGUAGGAAUACCCGCUGAACUUAAGCAUAUCAAUAAGC
rnacentral:rRNA from 1 species